AGGCUGGUGUGGGCCGAGGGCAAGAGGCCUGUGGGCUGCUCCCAGGCCUCCUGCUUUCUGGGCUCAGGCUCUGUUU
rnacentral:miRNA from 1 species